AUUAGCUAGUUGGUGAGGUAACGGCUCACCAAGGCGACGAUGCGUAGCCGGCCUGAGAGGGUGACCGGCCACACUGGGACUGAGACACGGCCCAGACUCCUACGGGAGGCAGCAGUAGGGAAUCUUCCGCAAUGGGCGAAAGCCUGACGGAGCGACGCCGCGUGAGCGAAGAAGGCCUUCGGGUCGUAAAGCUCUGUUGUGAGGGACGAAGGAGCGCCGUUCGAAGAGGGCGGCGCGGUGACGGUACCUCACGAGAAAGCCCCGGCUAACUACGUGCCAGCAGCCGCGGUAAUACGUAGGGGGCGAGCGUUGUCCGGAAUUAUUGGGCGUAAAGCGCGCGCAGGCGGUCUCUUAAGUCUGAUGUGAAAGCCCACGGCUCAACCGUGGAGGGUCAUUGGAAACUGGGGGACUUGAGGGCAGGAGAGGAAAGCGGAAUUCACGGUGUAGCGGUGAAAUGCGUAGAGAUGUGGAGGAACACCAGUGGCGAGGGCGGUUUUCUGCCUUGCACUUGACGCUGAGGCGCGAAAGCGUGGGGAGCAAACAGGAUUAGAUACCUUGUUAUUCCACGCCGUAAACGAUGAGUGUUAAGUGUUAGAGGGGUCACACCCUUUAGUGCUGCAGCUAACGCGAUAAGCAUUCCCCUUGGGGAGUACGGCCGCAAGGCUGAAAUUCAAAGGAAUUGACGGGGGCCCGCCCAAGCGGUGGACCAUGUGGUUUAAUUGGAAGCAACGCGAAGACCCUUACCAGUUCUUGACUUCCCCUGCCAACCCAAGAGAUUGGGCGUUCCCCCUUCGGGGGGACAGGGUGACAGGUGGUGCAUGGUUGUCGUCAGCUCGUGUCGUGAGAUGUUGGGUUAAGUCCCGCAACGAGCGCAACCCUCGCCUCUAGUUGCCAGCAUUCGGUUGGGCACUCUAGAGGGACUGCCGGCGACAAGUCGGAGGAAGGUGGGGAUGACGUCAAAUCAUCAUGCCCCUUAUGACCUGGGCUACACACGUGCUACAAUGGGCGGUACAAAGGGCUGCGAACCCGCGAGGGGGAGCGAAUCCCAAAAAGCCGCUCUCAGUUCGGAUUGCAGGCUGCAACUCGCCUGCAUGAAGCCGGAAUCGCUAGUAAUCGCGGAUCAGCAUGCCGCGGUGAAUACGUUCCCGGGCCUUGUACACACCGCCCGUCACACCACGAGA
rnacentral:rRNA from 1 species